rnacentral:tRNA from 1 species
GGGUGUAGCUCAGUGGUAGAGCGCAUACUUAACAUGCAGGAGGUCUUGGGUUCGAUCCCCAGUACCGCCA